rnacentral:tRNA from 3 species
UGUCCCAUGGUGUAAUGGUAGCACUCCUGGUUUUGGUUCAGUCAGUCUAGGUUCGAAUCCUGGUGGGACAA